GAGAAGCCGUCAAUGAAAUUGAGCUGGCGUAAGAUUCCAUCGAGAUUCGGAUUCCUGAGAUCAAAAUACAUAAGGAUAGCAUGACAAACCCUUCCAAAAAAAAUCUGAAUCCUCAUCUCAGAUUUUGAGAAAUCUCAUCGAGACACACAGAUCAAUUAGGACUAAUACCAGAUGCUACGCGUGAACUCAAAGAAGUUUUAUUUUGGGCAGGAAUCCUUCUGAACAAAGACCCGGUGUAAGCACACUUCCUGUUCUAGGUAAGGAGAUGCUCGUCAGAAAGUGCUGAUACCGGAUGAAUAGCGCACAGAAAUCGUUUUACCAUCCUCCACUCAGGAUUUUGCAAAUCGAAUCUGCAAGUUGAAGGAGCGGUGGCAAUUCUCCCUUCAGUACAACCUCAUCGUUAGAGUCUCUUUCUCUGGGUUGGUCUACGAUCAUUCGAUUAGAACAUCCUUGCAUUCGAAAUAAAAAACUGAAACCAAAAUA